rnacentral:rRNA from 1 species
UGCAGUCGAACGCUUCUUUUCCCACCGGAGCUUGCUCCACCGGGAAAAGAGGAGUGGCGAACGGGUGAGUAACACGUGGGUAACCUGCCCAUCAGAAGGGGAUAACACUUGGAAACAGGUGCUAAUACCGUAUAACAAUCGAAACCGCAUGGUUUCGUUUUGAAAGGCGCUUUACGGUGCCGCUGAUGGAUGGACCCGCGGUGCAUUAGCUAGUUGGUGAGGUAACGGCUCACCAAGGCCACGAUGCAUAGCCGACCUGAGAGGGUGAUCGGCCACAUUGGGACUGAGACACGGCCCAAACUCCUACGGGAGGCAGCAGUAGGGAAUCUUCGGCAAUGGACGAAAGUCUGACCGAGCAACGCCGCGUGAGUGAAGAAGGUUUUCGGAUCGUAAAACUCUGUUGUUAGAGAAGAACAAGGGUGAGAGUAACUGUUCACCCCUUGACGGUAUCUAACCAGAAAGCCACGGCUAACUACGUGCCAGCAGCCGCGGUAAUACGUAGGUGGCAAGCGUUGUCCGGAUUUAUUGGGCGUAAAGCGAGCGCAGGCGGUUUCUUAAGUCUGAUGUGAAAGCCCCCGGCUCAACCGGGGAGGGUCAUUGGAAACUGGGAGACUUGAGUGCAGAAGAGGAGAGUGGAAUUCCAUGUGUAGCGGUGAAAUGCGUAGAUAUAUGGAGGAACACCAGUGGCGAAGGCGGCUCUCUGGUCUGUAACUGACGCUGAGGCUCGAAAGCGUGGGGAGCAAACAGGAUUAGAUACCCUGGUAGUCCACGCCGUAAACGAUGAGUGCUAAGUGUUGGAGGGUUUCCGCCCUUCAGUGCUGCAGCUAACGCAUUAAGCACUCCGCCUGGGGAGUACGACCGCAAGGUUGAAACUCAAAGGAAUUGACGGGGGCCCGCACAAGCGGUGGAGCAUGUGGUUUAAUUCGAAGCAACGCGAAGAACCUUACCAGGUCUUGACAUCCUUUGACCACUCUAGAGAUAGAGCUUCCCCUUCGGGGGCAAAGUGACAGGUGGUGCAUGGUUGUCGUCAGCUCGUGUCGUGAGAUGUUGGGUUAAGUCCCGCAACGAGCGCAACCCUUAUUGUUAGUUGCCAUCAUUUAGUUGGGCACUCUAGCAAGACUGCCGGUGACAAACCGGAGGAAGGUGGGGAUGACGUCAAAUCAUCAUGCCCCUUAUGACC